GACGAACGCUGGCGGCGUGCUUAACACAUGCAAGUCGAACGAAGUGGCGAACGGGUGAGUAACGCGUAAUCAACCUGCCCUUCAGAGGGGGAUAACAGUUGGAAACGACUGCUAAUACCGCAUACUGAAGGAGGGGAUUGCGUCUGAUUAGCUAGUUGGGGGGGUAACGGCCCCCCAAGGCGCUGAUCAGUAGGCGGUUGUGGAGGAUGAACUGCCACAUUGGGACUGAGACACGGCCCAGAUUCCUUCGGUGGGCAGCAGUGGGGAAUCUUCCGCAAUUGAGGAAAGUCUGACUGAGCAACGCCGCGUGAGUGAUGACGGCCUUCGGGUUUUUAAGCUCUGUUAAUCGGGACGCGGUACCGGAAUAGGAAGCCACGGCUAACUACGUGCCAGCCGCCGCGGUAAUAC
rnacentral:rRNA from 1 species